UACGUAGGGUGCAAGCGUUGUCCGGAAUUAUUGGGCGUAAAGAGCUCGUAGGCGGUCUGUUGCGUCGGCUGUGAAAACCCGGGGCUCAACCCCGGGCCUGCAGCCGAUACGGGCAGACUAGAGUUCGGCAGGGGAGACUGGAAUUCCUGGUGUAGCGGUGAAAUGCGCAGAUAUCAGGAGGAACACCGGUGGCGAAGGCGGGUCUCUGGGCCGAUACUGACGCUGAGGAGCGAAAGCGUGGG
rnacentral:rRNA from 1 species